UGUAGCCUCAGUUAGAGAAUCGUGUUCACCUUAUUUGCUCUGCAUUCAUCCCAACAUCGGGCAUCAUUUCUCGCAAUCGUGCUUUUGUCUAUUUCAAUAAGACUAUUGCACACAAAUGCAGUCUCCCCUCUCAUCUAUAUCUUGAAGCAGCAAUUCCUCCAGCAAAGUUUAGCCUUUUUCGUUCUAUGAGGUCGACAGAAAACAAGAUGGCGCAGGAAAUCCAGAAGAAUAGAGUGAAUAAAGAAUUUGUGAACUACAGCUACAUACACAAUGAUGAUGGACCGUUUAAAGUAAUUGUAGAAAAGAUUUUCGAAGAAAAUCACAAAUACAACGGAAUCAACAAAAUUGCGGUUGGACUAAUGCUAAAACAAAAUGGCUUCUCCACAGCGGUGCUGGACAUAAAGAAAACCGGAAAAAUCUAAAGUGCUUGCGUAUUUGAUCAAUUGGAAGGAAGCAAAUAGAUUAACGAAGUGGCAGAACCUUAGCAUCAAACGGUACAAAGCGUGCAUCCCGAAAGGAUUCGUGACUGUGGAUAUCCAAGCAUACCGACCGAUUGCCCUGAUACCGACACUAACUAAAACAAUCAACUAUGGAGUGUUAAAAUAGUACAAUCGCAUAUAAAAGAGCACCGGUUGCUACCCACACUAUCAUUUGCAUUCCAGUCUAAAAAGUCGACAGACGACUGUCUAGAGUACACCACAAACUAUAUAAAGGAAGGUAAAAGACGCAACAAGAAGAUGUGAUUAAAUGGAUCGAUAGUUUCUUAUACAACAGAAAACUUGUAAUACAUACGGAACAAGGAGAUAUAACCGCCUAUACAUCCCAAGGACUGCCGCAGGGAGAUAUCCAUUCCCCGAUUCUAUUUAAUCUCUAUACAACUAGUGCGCACAAUAUAGCAGAGAUGGAAGAAGACACCAUCACAGUUCAAUUUGCGGACGACUUCCUGACAAUUGUGCGAGCAAAUACGAAGGAUAAAGCUAUCGAAAAAGCCCAUUCAGUUAUAGAUCGAUUCGCGGAGGCGUGAUCAAACUUGCAACUAAAACUGAACGAUGCAAAAACCCAAACGAUCAUAUUUAACGUGGCAGACGUAGAUUUGGGACUGAAAAUAGAAAUUCAACUAAUCGUAAUGGUACAAAGCUUUAAGUACCUCGGACUCUAUAUUGACAAAAAUUUAGGCUUUGGAGCACAUAUUCGAACUUUAAAAAGUAAAAUUGGCGAAAGGCAAAACAUGGUAAAAAUUAUUGGCAGUAUAAAAAAGGGGCAACACCCAAAGUAAUGGUGCUUUUCCACAAGGCCCUUUACGGUAAUUUGCUCCUGUACGGGUCAUCAGUUUACGGUCAAACAUCACAAACAUACCAAAAACAGCUCGAAGUAUGCAACAGACAAUGCCAACGAAUUGCGACAGGCUGCUCCAAAACAAGAGCUAUAAAUACAAUUGCUGCACUAAGCAACGAAGAACCCCUAGAACUAAAAAGGGAUUACACCACGAAGAAACGAAUAGUACAUCUGAUUAAAAAGGACCUAGUGAGCAACCAACUCUUUCAAUUGAAUCUAAAAAAUCACUUGGAGGAUAAAAUGUACACGCUCCUAGAAAGAACAUUUCGGAACAACGCAGAAGAACUAAUCGAGGUAUAUGA